rnacentral:misc_RNA from 1 species
GUAUAUAUAACUUUAUAGGUACAUAAGGACCUGAUUCAACAUUCUAAACAGAUUCAAAGGUUUGUAAAAGUGACAUAGACCCAGAAAAUGCAAGGCAAAGCUGAUUCUUUUCAAAGAGCACAGCAGUCCCAACUCGAAAAAUAAUCAAUCAACUUUCCAGGUCUACAAUAUGUGCACAGUUGGAGAAAUAAAGAUGGCAAGCGUGCACGUACACCCCCUUUGGAGUGAGGAGACAGCAACAGCCUGCUCAAGUUUAUUCAAUAAUGAUCCUUCCGCAGGUUCACCUACGGAAA